UAGGAAAAACGCACUGGAUGAAAGCACGCCACCUCCGCCGUGAAUCUCGCAGCCACGGCCGGUGGCCAGUCUCCCUCUCCGGCUUUCAUCCAGCGCCGCCGCCGCGCCCUCUCCUCCCCUUCCCACCAGCCCCAAAUCGGUGCCAUUCUGAGUCUCCUCCACCUCCAACCUCCUGCUGGCGGCCGUGUCGGAUUUGGAUCGGAGUCACUAGCGUGUGCGCGCAGGAGACAAAAUCUCACAUAGACUCAGAAGCCAACAAACAAGUUUUCCCCAUCACUUAAAUCCCUCUCCCAGACCAAAACAAUCGAGCGGAAGACGAUCUGGACGCGAUGGCGCUGGAGUGGGUUGUGCGCUACGCGGCGGGCGCUGACGCCAUCAUGCCGCUGCAGCCGACACCGCUGAGGAUGGAUGUGCUUCGGCACCGCUCUUCAUCAACCUCUAACUCGCUGUAUCCACUCACCCUGCUGGUACCAAAAAGCAAGAUCUGGGCGAAAGUUUACGAGGCGAACUGUAUCUCACGUCAACUCGCCCGCCGCUGGGUAGCCGCCGCCCUCGCCACUGGUCUGCCUCUCCAAGUCUCCGACCGGCUGUUCUACUCGGACAUCGCCGUACAGUUCCUCAUCCGCAAACUCUUGUGCUUCUCAACUAGAAAUCAAUCCCCGAGCUAUUAAUGCCCCCCGUAUUUGUCGCAGGAUAUGCCCAAGGUGAAGGACGGACACCAACGACGGAGAGGAGGAGCAAGAGGACGACGAUGCUGUUAAAGCUAACUAAAAUUUGAGGGGGCUUUGCAAUGUCGAGAAAAUAAUCAUGAGGGUCGGUUUUCAUGAGGUACUAUUCAGUUUUUUCUUCUUCUCAUACAUAGAUAGAACAAAAGUUAUAUGAGUUGAUUUUGUACUUCUUGCUGCAUGAGCAUCCACUUGAUUAAAAUAUUCAGAGUGUGAAGCUUUUAAAAUCUCAAAAAUAUAUAGGGAUAUAUUUGAUCGAUGAACAUAAGAAAUAAAACAGAACUGCAUGGUUUAUGUGUUUUAAUUGAAAGACUGUGUAGAUGGGGAUGGAAAGAAAUGAUUGCAAGCGGCAUGUGCCAUUGAAAGAGGUGGCGAGGUUCAAUUGCGUAGGCUGAGACAGUGACUUCAUGUGCAUGAGGAUCCUAGAAGUAUAAUUUAGCCAUGAUUUAUGUUGGUGCAUAAGAAUUACUAAUUUCUAAUGUAU